UAAUUAAUGUAAUUAGUUACUGGCGGCUGCCGUCAUCGUUUUAAUAAUCGAGUGUUGUUAGAUAAAUUACCAUACUAAAAAUAUUAUAAAAGAAGUCUGCACCGUAUUUAUCUCAUAUAAUUUAUUUUGGCGAGAUUCAGGUUUAGUUAGUUACAUUACAGUGCCGUUCUUAAAAGUUAUCAUUUUACACCUUGAUUAACUGUUACAAACACCUACAAAAUGGCAAAUCCGUGUGAACGAUUGGGAAAACAUCUAGAAGGAAUUACCUACGACCAAGCAAAAAAAAGCCAAUAUUAUGAAUUUGUCGACGAUAUUGAAAAUAUAAUGAGCAGUUUAGCAACAGAAGUUUUCGAAAAACUGGGAGUCAGCGGCGAUGACGAGACGUUUAAUAUUGCUGUUAAAGGUCUUGAGAAUUUCCAACAGCACCAACUGAAUGAAUUAUCUGCUUUAGUCAAACAACUUACAUCCCUACCCGACAUCGACGAGGAUGCUCGAAGUUUUUUAAACGAUUGGAUUCCAGGAAUUAAAUACCAGUUUGCACAAAAAUACUACUUAAAACAUGGCCCGAAUCCUCAGUCACUUCAAAAUUCUUAUUUAGUAGUUCUUGAGUAUUUCGUACCAGGCUGCUUAUUUGUGGCUGACAAGUUUGACAAAAAUGACAUUAAGAUUAAAAUUGCUGAUUUUUGUAAAAACACUUUACACUAUGAAAUCGACUGUCUUAAUCAUGUGAAGAAAGCUAUCGAGACAUAUCGUAAGAAGUAAAUAUUCAAAUACAACGACGACAAUAUAAUUUGAAGCUUAAAGUCAUAUUAUGUAUUGUUAUUUAAGAAAAUAUAAAUAUUAUUGAAGUAUAAUGAGAAUAAAGAGAUUUGCUUAACGAAGAAAUCGGAUCAGCAGUUUAGAAAAUAUCGUGGGUCCAAAGUUCAGUCUCAAAAUAAAAACACAUCAUUGUAAAUACAAUACCUUCUUAGCUGACAGCUCCGCAUUGAAACUAAAAAUUAAAUAUACCUACUCACUAGUAAGUUUUUUUGUACAUAUAUCUAGCAUAUAAAAAUCAAGCCUUCGAUAUUACACAUGUAUAAAAAAAUUAUUUUGAUAUUUUACCUAAUAAUGUACAUUAUAAAAUGCAUAGGUAUAACCUCAUUAUAUUGUGUUUUCCAAAUCGGUUAGAUAGUUUAUACAUAGAUAACCUUUAAAGCUAACAAGUAAAGACCAAAGUACUUUCAAAAAAUUAUAAUACUAUAAUAUUAAAUGUUAUUUUAAAGUUUUUCGUUAGUUAUGUAAAAAAUAAGAUGCAACAUUCGUACAUACUAUGUAAGGUAUUCAAUUAGUUAUUGUCAACUUAAAUAAGAGUACCUAACUUGAGAUUUUACUAUAUUAUAAUAAUGGGAAACCCCUAUCCACAAUAAAAUAUACUUCAAAACCUGUAUAAUAUGUACCGAUAUGUUUUAUCAUAUUCCAUAGAGCAUAACUUAUUAGUACAAUUAAUCUAAUCAUUUACUGGCGGCUGCCGUCAUCGUUUUGAUAAUCGAGUGUUGUUAGAUUAAUUAACAUACUAAAAAUAGUAUAAAUAAAGUUUACACCGUAUUUAUCUAAUAUAAUAUAGUUUGGUGAGAUUCAGGUUUAGUUAAUUACAUUACAGUGCCGUUCUUAAAAAUUAUCAUUUUACACCUUGAUUAACUGUUUAACACCUACAAAAUGGCAAAUCCGUGUGAACGAAUGGGAAAACUUCAAGUAGGAAUUACCUACGACCUAGCAAAA